AGACCGAUAGCGAACAAGUAGAGUGAUCGAAAGAUGAAAAGCACUUUGGAAAGAGAGUCAAACAGCACGUGAAAUUGUUGAAAGGGAAGCGCUUGCAGCCAGACUUGCUUACAGUUGCUCAUCCGGGUUUCUACCCGGUGCACUCUUCUGUAGGCAGGCCAGCAUCAGUUUGGGCGGUAGGAUAAAGGUCUCUGUCACGUACCUCCUUUCGGGGAGGCCUUAUAGGGGAGACGACAUACUACCAGGCCUGGACUGAGUCCGCGCAUCUGCUAGGAUGCUGGCGUAAUGGCUGUAAGCGGCCCGUCUUGAACACGGACCAAGA
rnacentral:rRNA from 1 species